rnacentral:rRNA from 1 species
GAUGAACGCUGGCGGCGUGCCUAAUACAUGCAAGUCGAGCGAACAGACGAGGAGCUUGCUCCUCUGACGUUAGCGGCGGACGGGUGAGUAACACGUGGAUAACCUACCUAUAAGACUGGGAUAACUUCGGGAAACCGGAGCUAAUACCGGAUAAUAUAUUGAACCGCAUGGUUCAAUAGUGAAAGACGGUUUUGCUGUCACUUAUAGAUGGAUCCGCGCCGCAUUAGCUAGUUGGUAAGGUAACGGCUUACCAAGGCGACGCUGCGUAGCCGACCUGAGAGGGUGAUCGGCCACACUGGAACUGAGACACGGUCCAGACUCCUACGGGAGGCAGCAGUAGGGAAUCUUCCGCAAUGGGCGAAAGCCUGACGGAGCAACGCCGCGUGAGUGAUGAAGGUCUUCGGAUCGUAAAACUCUGUUAUUAGGGAAGAACAAAUGUGUAAGUAACUAUGCACGUCUUGACGGUACCUAAUCAGAAAGCCACGGCUAACUACGUG